CACCGUCAGCGUGCGUGGAGGAAUUCUCUCUGUGGGGAAAUGCCCAAAUGGGCGCUGGGUGAGAUCUGGGGCACUGGGAUCCCCUGGAGGGCCGCAGUGCCAGGAGCAGAGGAGCCUGCUGCCUUACCUGCCAUGGUAGCUCGAGAGUGGCAGCGGGGGGUUCCGUGAGCGCUGGGGUCAGCCCCUCUGCCCUGAGCUCACAGUGCCCCUCUCUGACAUGGACCCGUGGUGUCACAGGCAUUGCUCUGAGCCUGCCCUGUCACCAGCACUUGCUGUGGCUGCAGUCGUGGUGGUGACAGCAUGGGACGAGUGUGGGGAGCUAUGGCCCGUCUCAUACUCCUCCUCCUGAUGGCUGCAACGUGCUGUCAGGACAGUGCUGCUCCAUGGCAGGCACCAGGAGCAGAUGACUACGCUGGUUCUGUUCCUGCGGUUGCCUGGUCAGACUCAGCUUUUGUUCCUGAGGUGGAACCUGGAGACAGUUCCACACAGGGAUUGCUGUGUAUCAGCACGGUGCCACUGCAGGCACCCUGCACGUAUGGUUGAGAUGCUGCUGCGUGGAAGGGAGAGAUGGGUGCUGUGGAGAGAUCCUCCGUUGUUCCCAUCUGGAGAUGGGUAUGUGGACGUGUUUGACACAACCUGCUCUGUCUUGCUGGUUUACAGAUGUGAGUGGAAGUGAAUGGGGUGCAGAAUCCCAGCCGGCUCCUGGGUCCGAAGCGGUUUCUAUCCCAGUAAUACAUCAAUAAAGAACUGCAUUAUUUCCUAA